CCUACGGGUGGCAGCAGUGGGGAAUAUUGGACAAUGGGCGAAAGCCUGAUCCAGCCAUGCCGCGUGUGUGAAGAAGGCCUUCGGGUUGUAAAGCACUUUCAGUGGGGAAGAAAGCCUUGGGGCUAAUACCCUCGAGGAAGGACAUCACCCACAGAAGAAGCACCGGCUAACUCCGUGCCAGCAGCCGCGGUAAUACGGAGGGUGCGAGCGUUAAUCAGAAUUACUGGGCGUAAAGCGCGCGUAGGCGGUCUGAUAAGCCGGUUGUGAAAGCCCCGGGCUCAACCUGGGAACGGCAUCCGGAACUGUCAGGCUAGAGUGCAGGAGAGGAAGGUAGAAUUCCCGGUGUAGCGGUGAAAUGCGUAGAGAUCGGGAGGAAUACCAGUGGCGAAGGCGGCCUUCUGGACUGACACUGACGCUGAGGUGCGAAAGCGUGGGUAGCAAACAGGAUUAGAUACCCGGGUAGUC
rnacentral:rRNA from 1 species